rnacentral:pre_miRNA from 1 species
CACUUCGCGGUCUCUAAUUCGCUUGGUGCAGGUCGGGAACCACUUCUUCGACAGUUUUCGUGCGGAAAUGACGGAACGGUCACCCGCGGAGAAUUGGAUCCCGCCUUGCAUCAACUGAAUCGGAGGCAGCGGUGAAU